UGUAGAUAAUUACCCGGGUUCAUUUAACGCUGUUCCCUGGUCGGAUGGUGCUUCUGUUCCUGAGGUGGAACCCAGAGGUGUGAAUGGAGGGGAAUGGGAUGCAGAAUCUCAGCCACCUCUUGUAGCAAAACCGAGAGUGGAUGGUAUGGAAGUGCCUCCAGAGAGGUCUGUGCCAAAGCCGAAGUUGGAUUACGUGCUGGAGCCCCGCUGCUAUCCCAAUGG